CUUGAACGCUGGCGGCAGGCCUAACACAUGCAAGUCGAGCGGAGCGGCGGACGGGUGAGUAAUGCCUAGGCAUCUGCCUGGUAGUGGGGGAUAACGUCCGGAAACGGGCGCUAAUACCGCAUACUAUCAGAUGAGCCUAGGUCGGAUUAGCGAGUUGGUGGGGGAAAGGCUUACCAAGGCGACGAUCCGUAACUGGUCUGAGAGGAGGAUCAGUCACACUGGGACUUAGACACGGUCCAGACUCCGACGGGAGGCAGCAGUGGGGAAUAUUGGACAAUGGGCGAAAGCCUGAUCCAGCCAUGCCGCGUGUGUGAAGAAGGUCUUCGGAUUGUAAAGCACUUUAAGUUGGGAAGCGUUACCAACAGGAUAAGCACCGGCUAACUUCGUGCCAGCAGCCGCGGUAAUAC
rnacentral:rRNA from 1 species